AUUGAACGCUGGCGGCAUGCUUUACACAUGCAAGUCGAACGGUAACAGGCCGCAAGGUGCUGACGAGUGGCGAACGGGUGAGUAAUGCAUCGGAACGUGCCCAGUCGUGGGGGAUAACGCAGCGAAAGCUGCGCUAAUACCGCAUACGAUCUAUGGAUGAAAGCGGGGGACCGUAAGGCCUCGCGCGAUUGGAGCGGCCGAUGUCAGAUUAGGUAGUUGGUGGGGUAAAGGCUCACCAAGCCAACGAUCUGUAGCUGGUCUGAGAGGACGACCAGCCACACAGGGACUGAGACACGGCCCAGUCUCCUGCGGGAGGCAGAAGUGGGGAAUUUUGGACAGUGGGCGCAAGCCUGAUCCAGCAAUGCCGCGUGCAGGAAGAAGGCCUUCGGGUUGUAAGCUGCUUUUGUACGGAACGGAGCGGCUCUGGUAAAUACCCGGAGCUAAUGACGGUACCGUAGGAAUAAGCACCGGCUAACUACGUGCCAGCAGCCGCCGUAAAAC
rnacentral:rRNA from 1 species